CUGCAGCAACCACAUUCACACAGUCACAGCCAAGAUGUCGGCACUUGGGCCAAGUCAUUUGCAAUUGUUAAGCUAAAGCUCCGCAAAAUUGCUUGCACAUAGAAUUAGAAAUAGAAGCAGCAGCAGCAGCAGCGGCAGGGGCAAUAAAUGGCUUUUAGCAAGACCAUUAAUAUUUCUUUAUUUAUUUCGUUUGGUUUUUUUUUCCUUAAUAAUAAUAAUAACUCAAUAAUGUCGAGCGAGAAUUCAAGGUUGCCUGGCCAUAUGAGUGAAAUGAAUACAUAAGACGACGGCAAAGCUGACGAUGUCGAUGUACCAAGUGCCAAAGGCAGCAACUUGCUUGCCAAUCUCUCUUACUCUCAGUUUAUGUUUAAAAAUAAAUGCACAAAGUAAAGAAGAAAUAAGGCAAAAUCAAAGGUGGCAGCCCGCUGCUUCUCGUAAUGUUGGCAACAUGUGACACGUAGAGCAAAACCAAAAUCAUAAAUAAAAUAUAUUUAAGCUUAUUUAAAACAAAUGCUAUGGCAGUGCCUUAAUGUGUAUGGAGAGGGAAGAACGAUUGAGGUAAAAAUACAAAAGGUAAA